CGCCGGCCCCAGCGUCGACACCCGAAAAGGUGCUCGCUCUGCGGCCCUGGUCAAUGACAAGCCUCCCUCUCUCCUCCUCCUCCUCCUCGCUCCUGGGCACACUCGGUCACCGUGCAGCCGCAGCUGAAGUUUCUGACGGAUCCACUCGAUCUUGGGUCCAACGGAGAGUUGCAACGCGGCAAAUGGCAGCCAGGGUUGCCACCAGGGCCUGUUCUGAGCGGCAGAGACGCUGCUCCCCGGCAGCUUAGAGGUCACCUUACCCUCUCCGAACUCAGUGGGUCGCUCUGUGGAGUUGGCAUGAGCCUCUGAGCUGCUUCUGCCACAUGCCUGGGGAUCUACACCGUGAAGACGAGAACUCCCAGCGCUGAGUCUCUAAUGCAAAUUCAAUGGAGACGGAAUAGCACCUCUUUAACUAAGCACUGGCGGGUGACAACCUGUCCAAACCUCGGUGCUCUGUCACUAGGAGGGAGCAGUCAAUCACAAGCAUCAGACUGAUAGCUUUAUUGUAGACACUAAAGGGGUGUUCAAUUCUUCUUCCUGCGGGGCAGCAAUCAUCAUGGAGGGACGUACCACAGUUUUAAUCCACUUACUUACCGGCGGCAUUGAGACGAAUGCUAGAUUUUUGCUUGUUACAAAUGAAGCCGCUAUGAAGACGGUGUACAUCUUUGUAUGGAAGCAUGGCCUUCCUUCUCUGGGCAUACAUAAAUACCUAGGAAUGAAAUGACCGGAUCCUCUUGGGUUGUGUUUGACAAGGCUGGAGCUUCAACUCUAGGUCCUUCACAUUUGCCUACAAACUUUGGAAUCUGUCAAGUUCUACAAAACAACAAGAAAUCACUGGAGUUUUCAUCAAAAUUGCACUUGACUUUGGGGAAGCUUCUAUGACAGCAGAACCAGCAAUUCCAUUUCGGCAUUCUCGUGGUCUGCUGAGGGCUCCGCGUGUCCUGGGAUUUUUCAGGAGACCGGUCAUGCUCGCCUUUCUAGGAUUCCUUCCUAAACAUUUUGUAUUUGUGUGUGUGGUGGGUCGCUUAUUUGUACAUUUCAGUUUCUCAUUAUUCCUUGGAAAUAGAUAAAAGUACAGUUGUUUUUUCUGUAUUUUACAAGUGUGCUAACUGAUAUCAGAUUACCCACAGGAAACACCACAAGACUGGACCUGUUCGCAUUCUUCUACAGAAGGGACGGACGGCUCUGGAGUUAGCUCUCUCUCGGGGCAGACAAGAAUGUAAGCUCUCAGCUACUGCUCCAGCGCCAUACCUACAUGUCUGCUGCCUGCUUGCUGUCUGCUGCCUGCCAUGAUGACCAUACUAACUAACCUUUGAAGUGAUGACUUUCAGUGUCUAAUCAUUGGACGGACAGACAAACAGACAGACGGAUGGAUGGAUGGAUGGAUGCACGGAUGAGCCGCUGAUUCUUCUCUCGCAUGAGCAAACAGUGGACACCUGGGGAAGGCACUCCGACAGAGUAACUAAAUCAUGGUGACUGUGAACAGGACAGGGAGAAGAGGAACGGUUGAAAUGAGGCAAAAGGCUUUAUGUGGUGUGGUUUAUAAGACAUCUCGUAUGUAGAAAAGUUAGAAAAAAUUGCAGUCCGUUUGCAAGCUUAAAUACCACGAUAAACUCCUCAUAAAUAAUUCCAUUUCAGAGCAGUCCUGAGCCCACCAAAUAAACACCAGGAG